AAUUAUUUUUGCGAUGUUGUAAAAGAAUUAAGAAGAAAUGUGUUUAAGUUAUCUAACAUUGGCAGAGCAGCACUGAAGUUACAACAUGAAAUUUGUCAGACUAACCUUUACUUAUUGGAACUGCAGGUGUUAGCAAGAUCCCUGUUUUAUCAUUAAAAUGGAGUUACUAACCCUAGCCUAGUGGUCAAAACCUUAAAGGUCCCAAUAUAGGACCUGCUCACUGAACUUUCUUUGCCAUGUUUGAGAAUUCUGCAGAAAGAGUUGCUACUGCUCUUCCCUGUAUUUACCAAUCAAUGUCCAACAGGACCUAUUUACUCUUCGUAUAAUGUAUCAGGUAUUGCAGAAUGAACCAAUAAAACAAUAGGAAAAAAUGCAGGAAGGCUUCUACCUACAAUAUUUGAAGUUGUCAUAGACCUACUAAGUUUGUGAAAAGCCGGUUGAUACACCAUGGUAGCCAGGAUGCUCUUCAAUUAACAGCACUCUAAGUCAACGCUAAGUUGAGCAUACUUCAUACUAAAUAUGUAGUUCAGUGGCAUACAUAUACUAAUUCUGCUACGUAAUAUCUAUUUGUACUUCUUAGGGACAUUGUAUUCCUGGCUGAUCUUUAUGGAACAAAUAACAUCUCUUCACACAGUUUCAGGUAGUGGUGCCUUAUUGAUAAUAACUUCUGACGUUACGGAAUUCUAAGGGCGGGCUUGGGUAGCACCUGCACACCAAAGGUGACAUUCAUAAAAGAUAUGGGUGUGACAAAAUUAGUAGCUUUAGUUCAAACUUAUAUUUAUCUUAAUUGUUUUAUUUAAUGUGUAUAAAUUAUUAAUUUAAGAUUUAGUAACUCAAAAAGGAUAGAAUUUGGGAUUCAUAAAUUUCAAAUUUUGAAUCCGCUUCUGGAAUAGACCCUAACUCCAAACAAAUUGGUGAAUAAAAGAACAUGUAUAUUUACGCUAUUUCUUUACUAAUAGUUAUGCGCAGCAUAUGCUUCUAUGGUUGGCUACAUUUCCCGCCCGUCUAUUUUUUUAAAAUAACUGUGGUGUUCAGACCAGCUUGCAUGCCUCUCAACUAAUUCCAUGGGUUACCUGCUACCUCCCACUAGCAAUAGGCAGGGGCGGAUUUACCCUUGACCGAGGGGUGUCGCGUGACACAGCUUCGUCGGAAAACUUCACUAAAUAUGUAUAUAAAAUUAAAAAGAAGAACGAAAUAGCGAGUAUAUUGAAUAAAGUGACACUGCCGGACAUAGAAAGAACUGUAGCUCAGCCGGUCAGGUGCCUAUAUUUUGAACUGGAGUUCUUGAGUUCGAAACUGGCAGCUUAAUUUGGCUGUCUUAAAACUUAAAAUGUUUGCACAUAGUCUAC